AGCCAGCAGGAACAACUUUUGACCCUGCUGGCAGCUUGGUUUUUGUCCUACCUUUUUUCCCAAGCUGAUGAGCUUAGUGGCCCCAUCAGUGCAGGGCAAGCGACUGGGAAGGCCAGGAGCGCAGUUUUUGAUAAAUGACUUCUAUAACAGCCGGCUCAUGCUGACCCGGCUGCCCGCUUGGCUCGGCUGCGGCCUAAAAACCCGGCCGCAGAAUGCUUGGCUCUAGGCGGCGCUGGCCUCUUGGUAUCAGCGCCUCGCGUCGGGCCCGGCGUGCCACACGCCGCCGGCGCCCUUGGACUUUCUGAGAGAAAGCGGUGGUACGACACGCUUGGGUCGACCGUAUCGGCGCCAACCGCGCCUCGCGUCGGGUCGUUGUUGAUUCCUCGCCUCACGACCCUUGGACUUUCUGAGGGAGGGAGGCGGUGCGUCAUGCUUGGGUCGCUUAUAUCGGCGCCAACCGCGCCUCGCUCCGGGCCUUGUGGUCUCCUCGUCCCAGGCCCUUGGACUUUCUGAAAGAAAGCGGUGGUACGACAAGCUUGGGUCGCUCAUAUCGGCGCCAACCGCGCCUCGCGUCGGGUCGUUGUUGAUUCCUCGUCCCACGACCCUUGGACUUUGUGAGGGGAGUGGGCGGUGCGUCAAGCUUGGUUCUUCAUGUAUCGGCGCCAACCGCGCCUCGGCUUCGGGCCUUGUGGUCUCCUCGUCCCAGGCCCUUGGACUUUCUGAGGAAAGCCGGCGGUGCGUCACGCUUGGAUCUUACUAUAUCGGCGCCAACCGCGCCUCGGCUUCGGGCCUUGUGGUCUCCUCGUCCCAGGCCCUUGGACUUUUUGAGGUAAGACGGCGGUGCGACAAGCUUGGGUCGCUCAUAUCGGCGCCAACCGCGCCUCGGCUUCGGGCCUUGUGGUUUCCCCGUCCCAGGCCCUUGGACUUUCCGAAGGAAAGCGGUUGGUAUAGAACGCUUGGGUCGCUCGUAUCGGCGCCAACCGCGCCUCGCCCGGGCCGUUGUGGAUUGCUCUUUCCACGGCCCUUUAUUACCUGCGUGUCGUUGUUUGGUCCGGCACGCUGGUAGGGUAGCUUGGUUCUACAGGCUUGGCUUAGGUCCAUGUUUUCUAACUUUUGUUCUUAGAGCCUGCUGUUCGAGGUCCAGGUUUUCUCACCUUUGUAGCCUGCUGCCGCCCUUGAGUACUGUUGGCGUAGGUCCAGGUUUUCUAACUUACGGCCUUAGAGCCUGCUGUAACCACCUGGUGCCCUGGCUGCCGGCUUUGUAGCCUGCUGCCGCCUUUGAGUACUGUUGGCGUAGGUCCAGGUUUUCUAGCCUGCU